GAUGAACGCUGGCGGCGUGCUUAACACAUGCAAGUCGAACGGAAAGGCUCCUGCUUGCAGGGGUACUCGAGUGGCGAACGGGUGAGUAACACGUGGGUGAUCUGCCCUGCACUUCGGGAUAAGCCUGGGAAACUAGGUCUAAUACCGGAUAGGACGAUGGUUUGGAUGCCAUUGUGGAAAGUUUUUCGGUGUGGGAUGAGCUCGCGGCCUAUCAGCUUGUUGGUGGGGUAAUGGCCUACCAAGGCGUCGACGGGUAGCCGGCCUGAGAGGGUGUACGGCCACAUUGGGACUGAGAUACGGCCCAGACUCCUACGGGAGGCAGCAGUGGGGAAUAUUGCACAAUGGGCGCAAGCCUGAUGCAGCGACGCCGCGUGGGGGAUGACGGCCUUCGGGUUGUAAACUCCUUUCGCUAGGGACGAAGCGCAAGUGACGGUACCUGGAGAAGAAGCACCGGCUAACUACGUG
rnacentral:rRNA from 1 species